rnacentral:rRNA from 1 species
AGAGUUUGAUUCUGGCUCAGGAUGAACGCUAGCGACAGGCUUAACACAUGCAAGUCGAGGGGCAGCACGGGAGUAGCAAUACUUGGUGGCGACCGGCGCACGGGUGAGUAACGCGUAUGCAACCUACCUAUCAGGAGGGGAAUAACCCGGCGAAAGUCGGACUAAUACCGCAUAAAACAGGGGCACCGCAUGGUGAUAUUUGUUAAAGAAAUUCGCUGAUAGAUGGGCAUGCGUUCCAUUAGGUAGUUGGUGAGGUAACGGCUCACCAAGCCGACGAUGGAUAGGGGAACUGAGAGGUUGGUCCCCCACACUGGUACUGAGACACGGACCAGACUCCUACGGGAGGCAGCAGUGAGGAAUAUUGGUCAAUGGGCGGGAGCCUGAACCAGCCAAGUCCGCGUGAAGGAAGAAGGAUCUAUGGUUCGUAAACUUCUUUUGCAGGGGAAUAAAGUGCAGGACGUGUCCUGUUUUGUAUGUACCCUGAGAAUAAGGAUCGGCUAACUCCGUGCCAGCCGCCGC